UGCACGGUGGCGCAGUUGGUAGCAAUGUUGCCUUGCAGCAACAAGGUCCUGGCUUCGAUUCCCGGCCGGGGGUCUUUCUGCAU